rnacentral:rRNA from 1 species
UACGUAGGUGGCGAGCGUUGUCCGGAUUUAUUGGGCGUAAAGCGCCCGCAGGCGGCCCGGCAAGUCUCAGGUGAAAUCUCCCGGCUUAACCGGGAGAGGUCCUGGGAAACUGCUGGGCUUGAGGCAGGGAGAGGGAUGUGGAAUUCCCGGUGUAGUGGUGAAAUGCGUAGAUAUCGGGAGGAACACCAGUGGCGAAGGCGGCAUCCUGGCCCUGUCCUGACGCUCAGGGGCGAAAGCGUGGGGAGCAAACCGG